AUGGUUCCGUUGGCUUAUUGCAUGUGCUUUCUGGAAUGUGCUACAGGGAGCCCAGAUAAAACUGCAGGGAAAAGGCUCGGAAGGAAUGAGGGAAGCCGCGGGAACAGGACGAAGAAGACGACGAGAACUUUUGUUUUUUUACGUUACUCCAAGACACACAAUGUUUGCCGCCAUUUGUGCUUUCUCCGGGUGAGGCGAACGUUGGGCCUCACAUUCCAGCUAGAGUGGCCCCAACUUCCCUCUCUCCAUUUAUUUUUUUUUUUUUGUGUGUUUUUUGUUUUUUUUUGGAAGGGUUUUUGAGACGUUGCCCCUCCCCCCCCCCUUCCCCCGGUUUUUCCGCCACCAACUUCCGAAGACGGCGAGAAAAAAAGAAAACGACUAUGCGGAUCACUCUAUUUAUGGUGACGACCGGAACGCAGAUUAUGAUGACCACUAUCGCAACGAAGAUGAUAUGCACUUUUUCCCGUUUGCGAGCUCUUCUUGUCCGUUUUUUUUUUUUGCCCCUUUUUUGUGUGUUGUUUUUCGCUAUGCGUGUGCCUGUGUGGGUGUGUGUGCAUGCGUGCGGCAAUUUACGGUGGAUGGAUUUAACUGUGCUAUGAUGGCAGCGCCAUGUUUUUCGUUCCUUGUAUUUCUUUUUAAAGACAUUUUGUCUUGCGUCUGCUUUGAAAAGUUUCCGACAAAAACCGGUCGGGGCGUUGCAGAAAAAACGAUAAAAACCUUUGGCCAAAAUGUCGGAGGCACGCCGAACAGACUUGCGAGACGCCGGCGGCGUUUUAUGCGUCCCGCUUUUGUCUCGUCGUUUUGUUUUCUCGUUGGUUAUGUUCGCAUAUGCAAAUUGUACUCAGAUAAGCAAGAAAAAAAUCACAAAAAGGUUUACAAAUGCAAAAUGUAAAAAAAAAUGCCAUUUUUAUGGGGGCUUCAUCUUGUUUGUUUUUUUUUGCACGGCACAGCUGCAUUCUUUAGCUCGGCAAAAUCGAGCGACGGUGGGCCAGCCGUAAAGGAGUAUUACGGUCUCAAAAACGAAAAGAGAAAAAAAAAAAAAAAAAAGAAAGAAAAAAAAGUGGGUUGUUUUGAAGAGUGUCGUCUUCUGUGCGACGAGUGCGUCCACGCAGCGAGCCAGCAAAAAUGCGUCCGGUCAUCCCCGUACACGGAAGCAAAGUAUUACGCGUUGCGUUCCACGGUUUACCAAAAGAGCGACUGCGACAAAGUAAAAGACGUUAUGCCAAUCUCGAAAGUGCAAUCGGCGUAUGCAACGACAACAAAGAGAACCGAUCUGGAGCUUGGCCCUCCCCCAGUGUAACGUUAAACAGUGUUCCUCUCCCCUUAACGGACGUGUGGUACUUAAGGCGGCGUGUUUGUGUUCGUCGCCACGCCGGAGUCGGAGGCCCGUUUCGGAGUUUUUUUGCGUGUUCGUUGCGUCGCUUGCGUUUCCUUAGCGAAGCCUCCGACCCGCACACGUCUCGUGGGUGCUGAGAAAAAAACCAUGUUGUCGAUUUAAAACAAACAAAAAAAAGGACUUAUCUCAUGGGACUGUGAUGACGAGGAACGUCUCGAAAGGAGGGGCCUGCAUUUAUAAUGAGCAUGUGCGUGUGCGAGAGACGGAGGAUAGAGAGAGAGAGUGUUGCUGCCAAACGUAUUACUACACAGACGAAGAAGUGCCAUUGAAUGAAGCGAGCAGGAAAGCACCACAUGGUUAUAUUAUACGUAUGCGAAGUAUAUCGUUCCGUACGACAUGUUUAAAAUAACAAUCCGCAAACUUUGUUUGUUUUCUUCCUGCAAGCAAGCUGGCUGGGGGUGCUUCCUGCAGCCCUGCUUUUUUUUGGAUGUACGUGACAUUCAGAGAAAUAUAUCAAACCUGAGCAUUCA